CUCAAUGGUGGGCCGGGCGGGGGCGCUGCAAAGCGCGCCGGUGUCGAUGAGGCCGGUAAGGUCAACCCCGUCCGGUUCCACCACCCGC
ncrna:Salmonella enterica subsp. enterica serovar Virchow str. SL491 C4 antisense RNA